GAUGAACGCUGGCGGCGUGCCUAAUACAUGCAAGUCGAGCGAACGGACGAGAAGCUUGCUUCUCUGAUGUUAGCGGCGGACGGGUGAGUAACACGUGGAUAACCUACCUAUAAGACUGGGAUAACUUCGGGAAACCGGAGCUAAUACCGGAUAAUAUUUUGAACCGCAUGGUUCAAAAGUGAAAGACGGUCUUGCUGUCACUUAUAGAUGGAUCCGCGCUGCAUUAGCUAGUUGGUAAGGUAACGGCUUACCAAGGCAACGAUGCAUAGCCGACCUGAGAGGGUGAUCGGCCACACUGGAACUGAGACACGGUCCAGACUCCUACGGGAGGCAGCAGUAGGGAAUCUUCCGCAAUGGGCGAAAGCCUGACGGAGCAACGCCGCGUGAGUGAUGAAGGUCUUCGGAUCGUAAAACUCUGUUAUUAGGGAAGAACAUAUGUGUAAGUAACUGUGCACAUCUUGACGGUACCUAAUCAGAAAGCCACGGCUAACUACGUGCCAGCAGCCGCGGUAAUACGUAGGUGGCAAGCGUUAUCCGGAAUUAUUGGGCGUAAAGCGCGCGUAGGCGGUUUUUUAAGUCUGAUGUGAAAGCCCACGGCUCAACCGUGGAGGGUCAUUGGAAACUGGAAAACUUGAGUGCAGAAGAGGAAUGUGGAAUUCCAUGUGUAGCGGUGAAAUGCGCAGAGAUAUGGAGGAACACCAGUGGCGAAGGCGACUUUCUGGUCUGUAACUGACGCUGAUGUGCGAAAGCGUGGGGAUCAAACAGGAUUAGAUACCCUGGUAGUCCACGCCGUAAACGAUGAGUGCUAAGUGUUAGGGGGUUUCCGCCCCUUAGUGCUGCAGCUAACGCAUUAAGCACUCCGCCUGGGGAGUACGACCGCAAGGUUGAAACUCAAAGGAAUUGACGGGGACCCGCACAAGCGGUGGAGCAUGUGGUUUAAUUCGAAGCAACGCGAAGAACCUUACCAAAUCUUGACAUCCUUUGACAACUCUAGAGAUAGAGCCUUCCCCUUCGGGGGACAAAGUGACAGGUGGUGCAUGGUUGUCGUCAGCUCGUGUCGUGAGAUGUUGGGUUAAGUCCCGCAACGAGCGCAACCCUUAAGCUUAGUUGCCAUCAUUAAGUUGGGCACUCUAAGUUGACUGCCGGUGACAAACCGGAGGAAGGUGGGGAUGACGUCAAAUCAUCAUGCCCCUUAUGAUUUGGGCUACACACGUGCUACAAUGGACAAUACAAAGGGCAGCGAAACCGCGAGGUCAAGCAAAUCCCAUAAAGUUGUUCUCAGUUCGGAUUGUAGUCUGCAACUCGACUACAUGAAGCUGGAAUCGCUAGUAAUCGUAGAUCAGCAUGCUACGGUGAAUACGUUCCCGGGUCU
rnacentral:rRNA from 1 species